ACGCUGGCGGCACGCCUUAUACAUGCAAGUCGAACGAAGUAGCAAUACUUAGUGGCAGACGGGUGAGUAACAUGUGGGUAUCUUCCCUUUGGUGAGGAAUAACACGAGGAAACUUGUGCUAAUACCUCAUAAGUCUUUACGGAGAAAGCUUUAUGCGCCAAUGGAUGAGCCCGCACUUGAUUAGUUUGUUGGUGGGGUAACGGCCUACCAAGACUUUGAUCAAUAGCUGAUCUGAGAGGAUGAUCAGCCACAUUGGGACUGAGACACGGCCCAAACUCCUACGGGAGGCAGCAGUAGGGAAUAUUGCACAAUGGAGGAAACUCUGAUGCAGCGAUGCCGCGUGAGUGAAGAAGGCCUUUGGGUUGUAAAGCUCUUUCGUCGGGGAAGAAAAUGACUGUACCCGAAUAAGAAGGUCCGGCUAACUUCGUGCCAGCAGCCGCGGUAAUACGAAGGGACCUAGCGUAGUUCGGAAUUACUGGGCUUAAAGAGUUCGUAGGUGGUUAAAAAAGUUGGUUGUGAAAUCCCGAAGCUUAACUUCGGAACUGCAAUCAAAACUUUUUAGCUAGAGUAUGAUAGAGGAAAGCAGAAUUUCUAGUGUAGAGGUGAAAUUCGUAGAUAUUAGAAAGAAUACCAAUUGCGAAGGCAGCUUUCUGGAUCAUUACUGACGCUGAGGAACGAAAGCAUGGGUAGCGAAGAGGAUUAGAUACCCUCGUAGUCCAUGCCGUAAACGAUGUGUGUUAGACGUUGGAAAUUAAUUUUUUAGUGUCGCAGCGAAAGCAAUAAACACACCGCCUGGGGAGUACGACC
rnacentral:rRNA from 1 species